GAUAGAUGUUAGAUGGCACUCUUGAAUUUUUUGUCUUGAUAAUAUAAUUAUAAUAGGAUUGUUUUUCAAUGUUAUAAGGAAAAUGGAGCAUAUUUCGCAAGAUUGAGAUGGGACUCCUCAAUAUUUAUUUAUCAUAUAUAUCUCAUAUUGAGUUACAUAUUAAAUUAUAUAGAUACAAAUUAUGAAGACAAUCACACGUUGCACUGAGCCCUUAUAUAUCGUGGAUAAAAUGAAGAUAGAAAGAAGGUAUAGAGGAGAAAAGAAAAACAAUUAUAUAUAAUAUUUUAGUCUUACUUCAAGGCACAUAUCCACUCUACUCGCGUUCGUAUCGCUUUUAUAUAUAUUUAAAUUGCGAUCUUGGCGAUUUUCGUACCCCGUGUUUUCUAUCAACACAUAUAUAUGUCAUCGCAAAAUGCGUUCGUCAACUUCAACCUCGGACGGAUAAACUCGGACGGACUUUCUGAAGAAGGGCGUGAAUUAGAGCGCAGAAAUUGACACACCGAUUCGACAUUAUUAUACGCAAUGGACUGCCGAAACCUUGACCUUGGAUCGGAGCAAAGAUGAGGGACACUUCCGGGGACACUCCGCAUACAUACAGUGUAUAGGAGAAUAACGCAUACCUCGACUACGUUUCGUUUACUACGACUCCAUACAACGAAAUAACACAUAUCGUCGAUCUUAAAAAAAAAACCCGCUAUUAUUUGCGUCGAUCGAAUGGAACAGGAAGUCGGAGGAGGAGACGUAAAGGAGGGACGAGAACAUUUGUGUGUUUCGCCAAUGAUUCCUGAGAGGCAUUUGCGAGAGAGAGAAAGAGAGUCACCUUGGCCCGGUUUAGAGGGUGUCCAAGAGAUCGAGGAGCUCCAGUUGAUUAUUCUCGUCCCAAUCAGCGAUUAGCAGGCUCGUGAUAUCGUCCUCGCUCAGGCUCACUUGCGUCGAUUCCGGCACUUCCGACAGACUGUCCGGAAUCGGGGGCGACACGCUACUAGGCGGGGUCUCGUAUAGGGUGCUGGAUAGACAGCUGGUGGGCGGCGAGCAGCUGUUUUGAAGAGCAUUGAGCGUCGUUGCUGCCGUCGUUAUCGUCGUCGCCGUCGUCGUCGUCGAAGUCGUCGCGGAUAAGGAUUGCCUCUUGGAGUUGCGAAUUCGCUGCGAGAUCGCGGAGCGACGCCUGGACCGUUUGCCCUCUUCCAUUCUUUCGAGAUCCAACUUCCAAAAACCACCCUUGCCUGGCUCAUCUUUGGAACGAGAUUAUUCGGAGGGACGAAUUUUCGCGUGAAAGAGGACAUUUAUUUUUUACCUGCCAGGCUGGAUCGGCGUAUUUGUAAAACAGGAAAUUCUCUCGAAUCCAUGCAUAGAUGUUGGAAAGGGAGACCUUAUUAUUGUUGGCGCGCAUAGCGAGACAAAUGAUGGUGGCGUAAGAGAACGGCGGCUUCGCAUCGGGAUCCGUGCGAUACUUGUCGGCAUUUUCCGCGAGAUCUAAUGGAGACAAAGAAAUUGAAGGAAAAUUACACAUCAUCCUAAUGAUUACCCAAUUCGGCCUUGAUCAAGGGCGACAAUUUCUUCGGGGGUUGACGGGCGACCGGCGGUGGUGAUGGCGAACAAGGCGGCGUCGGCAAACCGGACGCGCUGGUAAUGUCCAACGAUUGCAACCAGGAGAGGCUUGUCAGUUCAGCCUCGACUCCGUCGUAAUCGUCCGGGCUGCUGUCCAUGCUGCUGCUAUCCACUGCGGCGACGGCGGUGGCGAUGGGCGAGCACUCCUCCUCCGUCGAUACUUCAACUUCCACCAGAAAUCUUCACAAGAACACGCCGCUCUUUACGAGGAAAAUACACUUUUCAAUAAUGCGUCAUCCGUCGACAUUUGUUCGUGGAAAGGGAGGCGGACAUCGAUCCCCCGGUAUGCAGGAGAGAGAAGAGAGAGAUAGAGAAGAAAAAUUUCGACAAAAAUGUCUAAAAUUUACAGGAAAAAAUAUCAAACGAAAUGAAAAAUGAUUGCACAAUACCCCGAUUAGGUAAGAUACGUACGUAUAUGUAUAUUAAAAUGAACGACUGGUGAGAGACGCGUGCAUGCACACGGCACGGUCGGACGAGCUGGACUGGUGGUAGCAAGGGGUGAAACGCGCCUGUGUCUACCUGCUUGCUUACUAGCGACCUGACGGAGGUACGCGCGUGCGGUGACAGGUGCUGGGUUCCCUUUUGCACAGGUGGACCAUGCACACGCGCCGCGCCGGUCGGACGACCCUCUUUCCUUUUCGUCGACCCUCUCUUAACUGAAACCAACAGGGGAGCUCACCCUUGCGAUUCUGAUCAUGGCGAGUAGCGUCGGCGUCGAAAUAUUUCCAAUCGCGAUAUAACGACGAUGUAACGAUAAGAAAUGAUGUAUUAAUUCAAUUACAGAGUACAUUGAUUAUGCAGCAGUUUCUCCAAAUUGAACUUCCCUCAGAAUGUUGAAACUUUUUUUGAUAUAAAUAUUUUUUUUGACCAAUUUACAUGUAUGCGUCGUCACAUUUAUAUAAAGGGUACAUUACAUAUACCGUUUGACCUUGAAUUAACUAUGCGCGAGCUAAUGUGUUUUAACUUGAAUAUAUGUUAGAUAUAUUAGAUAAUUUUUUUGAUUAGCGUAUAUAGGAGCGAUACAUUAUUUAUUUUAAUAGAAAAUUGCCGCAGUUUUUCUCUAUUAUACUCAUAUUUAAGCACUAGUGGACCCUGGGGGGUGAUUUUAAAGUUAAAACCUCCCCUUCCAAAUUAAAAGAAAUAAUAGUAAUCUAAUUUGCGAAAUUAUUUUUAUUAUUAAUAUUAAACUAGAUACUUUUGUGGAAACCCUCCCCAUGAUCGACUUCAGGAUCCGCUAGUGUAUUUAAGUAAUAUUGGAAAAUGCUUGAAUAUCUGAUAAAAUAAAGUUCCACACUUCAUCUCUGUGCUUUUUCUGACGAAGAAAUAUCGAUUUCAGGGGGUGUUUUCCCGAAACCUGUAUGAAUUAUCCUACGAGAACAUUUCUUUUCACCGAGGGCAAACGGAAGAAGGUGUGUGAUACGCGCGUUCGUCCUGGCUGCGUCACCCGUUGGCGGGGGUGGACAUGUAGCCGUCUUGGUACAGGUGCCUCCAUUGAUCGAAUCGGGGGGAGGCAGCGACCGCCAGUUACGAUAAACUGCCAUGCGAGAGAGAGGGGUAAGAGCCACGGCCAUUCGACCGGGACGAGAGAAUGGCGCGCGAGAUUCACCCCCGGAUCUCCGUCAUCAUUGGUCGACGUUCGUGCGGGAUCGUUAGAGCACAAGAUUCGUCCGCUCUGAAUUAACACAGACGUACAAACAGUAUCGCACGCGAUACGUACACGUAGACACUUUUGGGCGUUCUAUGGAAAAUUGACCCUCCUCCAGGAAAGAAGGGAUGAAUGUCUUCUUAAUGCGAAAAAAUAUCUUGCAUGAAAAGAUAUAUCUUUCUGAUAAAAAUAGAAACUUUCGGAGAACUAAAGCGUUCGAUUAUGAUAUAAAUUUUUAACUAAGCUAACUACUAAUAUCAGAUUAAUAGCUAACAUAUUGUGUUUCGCGACGAGCUCACUGUUGGAUUUGUUUCAAUCAUAAUUCAUUUAAUUUCAUGUCUCAAGAUAAUUUUGAAAUGAUUAUCAGAGUCCUGAAUUAUUUUUCAGCGAAUCGAUUACACAACUGAUGCCGUGAAAUUUGUUUCAGAUAAUAUACGAGAACGCGAAAGUAUAGAAGGGAUGCUUUGUUGGAAAAACUAUACCUAUAUAAGACCUCUAAAUUCUGACGAUGCGUUGCGAUACAUAGAAACUGGUGCUGAAAAAGAAAAGAAUAUGCGAAAAUAAGAACUUGGACGGACGCCAUCGCCAAUAAGGAUUUUCCUACAUCGUCGUGAGUGAAAGUAUCUGCGCGGUCGACGAUCAAUAAUCUCCUGGGAACAUCCGUUCCCCUGUCGGCCCCACCGGCACCGGGUUAUCCAGCUGGCUAGCUACCCCCGUCGGCGGUGGUGGUAGCAGCAGCAGCAGCAGCAGUAGCAGUAGCAGCAGCAGCACCCGGCCAGUAUCAGCAAUAACUAGCAGCACCUGCCGCCUUCUUUCCCCGCGUGUCAGGUUGUGAGUCACUACCACGCUUUCGUUUGCGCGUUUACCUUCGCUAAAGCGACGUAUCACGUGCAACAACGUAACAUUAUGCGCCAUGUAAAAGGACAUAAUGGGACCAGUAGUAUAUCGUACUAUCUGUGUUCGCCAAUCGAUUUCCACAUUAUUACAAGACGAUGUAUUUUUAUGGCGAGCGCUUUUCGCGUUCGAUUAUGUCUGCAAUUAUAUAAAUGGAUAUAACGCAUAAACCAAUCAAUUUUUUAAAUAGACAAUCCAUGUAUAUACAUCUAUGCAUGUACAUAGAAUAAAAUAGAAUAUGUACUAUA